rnacentral:rRNA from 1 species
CAGUCUCAGUUCGGAUUGAAGGCUGAAAUUCGCCUUCAUGAAGCCGGAAUUGCUAGUAAUGGCAGGUCAGCAUACUGCCGUGAAUACGUUCCCGGGCCUUGUACACACCGCCCGUCAAGCCAUGGGAGCCGGGGGUACCUGAAGUGCGUAACCGCGAGGAGCGCCCUAGGGUAAAACUGGUGACUGGGGCUAAGUCGUAACAAGGUAUC